AGAACGAACGCUGGCGGCGUGCUUAACACAUGCAAGUCGAACGAGAAAGCUUUCUUCGGAGAGCGAGUAAAGUGGCGCACGGGUGAGUAACGCGUAGAUAACCUAUCCUUGUGUCUGGGAUAACCCACCGAAAGGUGGACUAAUACCGGAUAUUCCUGAUUUUCAUAAGUUGAUCAGGCAAAGGUGGCCUCUGAUAUAAGCUAUCGCACGAUGAGGGGUCUGCGUACCAUUAGCUGGUUGGUGGGGUAAAGGCCUACCAAGGCAACGAUGGUUAGCGGGUCUGAGAGGAUGAUCCGUCACACUGGCACUGGAACACGGGCCAGACUCCUACGGGAGGCAACAGUGAGGAAUAUUGCGCAAUGGGGGCAACCCUGACGCAGCGACGCCGCGUGAGUGAGGAAGGCCUUCGGGUCGUAAAACUCUGUCGGAAGGGAAGAAAUGCAGGAUGGUUAACACCUGUUCUGUUUGACGGUACCUUCAAAGGAAGCACCGGCUAACUCCGUGCCAGCAGCCGCGGUAAUACGGAGGGUGCAAGCGUUGUUCGGAAUCACUGGGCGUAAAGGGCGCGCAGGCGGUUUGGUAAGUCAGAUGUGAAAGCCCACGGCUCAACCGUGGAAGUGCAUUUGAAACUGUCAGACUUGAGUACCAGAGUGGAAAGUGGAAUUCCCGGUGUAGAGGUGAAAUUCGUAGAUAUCGGGAGGAAUACCGGUGGCGAAGGCGACUUCCUGGCUGGAUACUGACGCUGAGGCGCGAAAGCGUGGGGAGCAAACAGGAUUAGAUACCCUGGUAGUCCACGCCGUAAACGAUGUGAACUAGAUGUAGGGGGCGUUGAUCCUCUCUGUGUCGGAGCUAACGCAUUAAGUUCACCGCCUGGGGAGUACGGUCGCAAGAUUAAAACUCAAAGGAAUUGACGGGGGCCCGCACAAGCGGUGGAAUAUUGUGGUUUUAAUUCGAUGCAACGCGAAGAA
rnacentral:rRNA from 1 species